AAAGUAUUAGUUAAAUUAAUAACAUUAAAUUGUCAAAUUAAAAUUACUAAAAGUAUACUUUA
rnacentral:tRNA from 1 species